rnacentral:guide_RNA from 1 species
AACAACGCAAUAUCCGAGUAAGAUUGUAUAAGUGAGAUAUAGUU